CUUCAUGAACCCAAAUUUAAAUUAUGUGAUAUAGACAGAAUUUGUGUGCUGAAAAUGAGCCUAUAUUUCAUAAAUGUUUUACAAAUAGCGACAAAAGUCUAAUUAUCUUGUUUGAAGAUCGUUUGAAACAAACGAAUAUAUAAUUAUCACGACCCAAAUUUAGCUCUUUAAAAAGCAACGAAAUGGGCAGUCUGGCAACCCAGCUCUUUCAAUUCAAUAACAUCCUCUUUGGGUUGUUUAUACAUUUCCGCGGUUCUUGCCAUUGGUUGAACCAGAACGAAAAACCCGGAAGUGCAUUAAGACAAUAAGUGACAAUAGUAGGCCUACAAUAGUAAUAGACCAGGUCGUGGUAGGCACUUGGCUUGGAGUAACUUACUCCAAGGGAGGCCGUUAGAGCACGUUCGACAGUAUUUGAUAAGAAUUUCCGCACAUGAUGGGAAUCAAGCUCAGGUUUUCUGCGUGCUGUGGCGGAGCGCCUACCAUUUCAUCACAGAUGCCAGUCCUGUACUAAAAGUCCCAAAACCAGGGGGGCCCAAUUCGAGAGAGUCAACUUGAAGACAAUGGCCAAACAGUUUCAAGGUAUCACUUAUAGAUUACCCUUCUCCCUCCGAGACCUAACAUUGACAACACACUCUAUGGAACAUUACAGCAACUGCAGCAGACCUGCACUUAUCACUACAUGGCAUUGGACAGAAGGGCGAGAGCCCAGCUGUUGCUGGAUCGAUAACAACAACAACAACAUCACUUAUAGAUUUAAUGAACAGUACUUAACUUUAUUUUCUUCGGCUACCACUAAUAAAGAUCAUUGAAAGUUCAGGAUAUUUACCUGUAAGAGCAAA